rnacentral:tRNA from 1 species
AAGAAUAUAAUUUAUAAUAAAAAAUAUUUAGUUUGAAACUAAAAAAAGUUACUGAAAAUAACACUAACUGUUCUUG